CAGGCCAAAAAGGUAGCUCUGAUGGAAUGAUGGAUAUCGACACUCGCUAUAGCUUACGACAUAGAAACAAACUCUAUUGUGAGUACAACACCAGUGGCGUUUUUUCUUCCUUAGAAACUCUCAAGGAAAUACUUGAAAACACCAUUUACAAUCGCUUUGGUUGGUGACCAAGAUGAAAAGCUGGCAGAAGGUAUCAAGCUUUAUGCUAUACCAACCACCUCAACUACAAAGCGGUCAAUACUUUUAAAAUUUGAUUUUAAAAGGAAUAGUGUCUGUGCAUAGAAUUUGCAUCAGGGUGGAAGCUUAGGGUCUUUUUCCCUGGACAUAAGUAGGCUGUUGCAGCUUUGUGAUGAAGACGAUGAUGGUGUAACCAGCGGGUAAGCUGCCCCAAAACCCGACCCAGAUGCUCACAACAUUAGCCCAAAUUCUAUUGUGAACAACACGGUUAAUAACUUACCGAAGCAUUUGUAGGGAGUGUUACCAGAACUUUGGGUAUUCCAAAUACCAUCUUUUCUUAACUGGAAGUAAAGAUGGGGAUGUAAAGCUUUGGGAUGAUAAAAGGGCAAAAUUGGUAUCAUUGGCCAAAAAUACAUGAUAGACAACCUUCAUUCAACCGCUCAAGAGGAUUUAGAGUGGUUAGGGUAUACCAUUUUUACCCUUUUAGUUUAAUUUUUUGUUUAGUAGAUAAUAACAUGAGGUUUACACUUGAAUUUUAAAUUAAAGAUUGAAACACUGUGAUAGAUAUUUAGGUUGUUUCAAAUUG